UAUGCUUAGCCCUAAACCCAGAUGUACUUUUACACCUACAUCCGCCAGGGGACUACAAGCACAGCUUAAAACCCAAAGGACUUGGCGGUGCCUCAGACCCACCUAGAGGAGCCUGUUCUAGAACCGACACCCCCCGUUAAACCUCACCACUUCUUGUUUUCCCCGUCUAUAUACCGCCGUCGUCAGCUUACCCUGUGAAGGCUAAGUAGUAAGCAAAACUGCCCCGCCCAAAAACGUCAGGCCGAGGUGUAGCGCAUGAAGUGGGAAGAAAUGGGCUACAUUUUCUAUAAAUAGAAUAUCACGGACGGUGCCCUGAAAUAGGCACCCAAAGGUGGAUUUAGUAGUAAAAAACAAAUAGAGAGUCUUUUUGAAUUAGGCUCUGAAGCGC
rnacentral:rRNA from 1 species